AAGGCCCUUAGGGAUGGUCACAAGGUCUCCUGCACCAAAUUCUACAAACUCCGGUGACCCUUUUGGAUAAACCUUCACUUUUCCCCGGAGCAGAUGAAUCAGGUGACUUUGAUGCUGUUGCCAUGCAAUAGAGAAUACAGAGAGAAACAGAGAAGGAAAGCAAGGAAGAAGCAUCACAUGUUUGUCUUUUAGACUGAGGAAUGUGGACACCUGGACGCAGAUCCAGAACGAAACAAAGUCCUCCAUGUGAACAAAUGCAUGCAAGGAACUAAAGAUCAUUCCUAUGGGACUCGUCAAAUGUGGGAAUCAUUUGAAACAUGGUCCUGCUUGGAUGUGUGUCUCUGUCUAACAAGACAGCAUGAUUUUGUUUGGAUAUUUGUGGUCCGUAGACCUGGACAAUGCACGUUACGGUUCUUUCCAUCAUUCCAUACUCCACACAAGUUCUUGGAAUCCAAGAUGGGUUUGUGGCACCGAUGUUGGUACCGGCUGAUUGAUUUUUCAUGCCAGAUACGUUUCAGAGCUACGUAUAUGGAGUUCUUGAGACAAUCUCGCAGUCUCAAUGACCAGCUCAGUACUCCCUUAAUAAUUCCAGCUUUAGACGGGAAGUUCCAUUCUUCCAUUCUUCCAGAUUCCGCCGGACCCGUAGACUUGGUUGCGGCGCCAAACGAGUAGCUGAUCUGCACCAGAUGGAUCCAGUCCUAGUAUCCGAGAUUUAACCGAGAAUUCUUUCUCGGUUUUCAAGUGAAUCCCUAUGUUCAUCCCGGGAACUAACACUAUUACUGGGGAUAAUGCCACAGAACAGGACCCGGAACACCACCUGCUCCAGCCUAUCUGAUGACAGAAUAUCCAGAAUCAAGUAGAAUGGUAGAAUGUAGAUCCGUUGGUACAGAUGGUCAGCACCAGAAAAAUCAAUAACCGGGUUCGCUGGAUUGCCAACCCAUACCGGAUUGAUCGGUAUUCUGUCAAACCAGAUACCAGUGCGUACUUUGACCGACCGACCCGAGUAAGAAUCUGGAUGAUUUCUGGGUAAAGAACCCAUGCCUGCAGACACCAGUUCCUCCCAGUCUCCGAGCAUUGAAAAAUUCUUUGGUCUUAAAUUCGCUUGCAGCUUUUGUCAAUGACUGAUGGAGACACCAGAAGAAUCAUAACUCAUUUAGACAGUACUGAAGUUUCUUGCAGGACCAGAAGUCUCGAGUUCGAACCAAUAAAUGUGGUUCUCAUUAAAUCCUGAAUUUCUGCAGACGUUUCAAUGUCACGUUAACA